rnacentral:rRNA from 1 species
UGGGGAAUCUUGCACAAUGGGCGAAAGCCUGAUGCAGCGACGCCGCGUGAAGGAUGAAGGUCUUCGGAUUGUAAACUUCUGUUAAACGGGAGAAAAGACUUGUGCCUAAUACGCACAGGGAAUGAUAGUACCGUUAGAGAAAGCACCGGCUAACUUCGUGCCAGCAGCCGCGGUAAUACGAGGGGUGCAAGCGUUAUCCGGAAUUAUUGGGCGUACAGGGUGCGUAGGCGGCUUAUUAAGUCAAUUGUUAAAUCUCCCGGCCUAACUGGGAACCAGCAAUUGAUACUGACGAGCUAGAGGAUGGAAGAGAGAAGCGGAAUUCUCGGAGUAGCGGUAAAAUGCGUAGAUCUCGAGAGGAACACCGAUGGCGAAGGCAGCUUCUUGGUCCAUUUCUGACGCU